rnacentral:rRNA from 1 species
UACGGGGGGGGCAAGCGUUGUUCGGAAUUACUGGGCGUAAAGGGCUCGUAGGUGGCCAACUAGGUCAGACGCGAAAUCCCUCGGCUUAACCGGGGAACUGCGUCUGAUACUGGAUGGCUUGAGUUUGGGAGAGGGAUGCGGAAUUCCAGGUGUAGCGGUGAAAUGCGUAGAUAUCUGGAGGAACACCGGUGGCGAAGGCGGCAUCCUGGACCAAUACUGACACUGAGGAGCGAAAGCCAGGGGAGCAAACGGG